rnacentral:rRNA from 1 species
AUGUCUUCUUGAUAAUUAAUAAUAAGAAGUCUAACCUGCCCUGUGAUCUUUUUUUUAACGGCCGCGGUAUCCUGACCGUGCGAAGGUAGCAUAAUCAUUUGUCUUAUAAUUGAAGUCUAGAAUGAAUGGUUGAACAAGGGUGAAGCUGUCUCUAAUUUACAUAUAAAACUUUAUCAUAAAGUUAAAAAGCUUUAAUAAAAUAGAAAGACGAGAAGACCCUGUUGAGCUUAAAAGACAUUAAAAAAUUUUUAUCAUAUUAUGUAUACAAAAAAUUUUUAAAAAUUUUAGUUGGGGCGACUUCGGAACAAAUAAAACUUCCGAUAAUGAGCUUUUUUGAUAAAAUAAAAAGAUCCACUAAUAGUGAUAAGAAAAAUUAGCUACCACAGGGAUAACAGCAUUAUCUUUUUUGAGAGUUCAAAUCGAAAAAGGGGUUUGUGACCUCGAUGUUGGACCAAAAUAACCUAAAGAUGUAGAAGUCUUUGAAGGUUGGUCUGUUCGACCAUUAAAAUUUUACGUGAUCUGAGUUCAGACCGG